UACGUAGGUGACCAGCGUUGUCCGGAUUUACUGGGCGUAAAGAGCGCGCAGGCGGUCGUUCAAGUCGAGUGUGAAAGCCCCCGGCUCAACUGGGGAGGGCCAUUCGAUACUGAUCGACUUGAAGGCAGGAGAGGGAAGCGGAAUUCCCGGUGUAGUGGUGAAAUGCGUAGAUAUCGGGAGGAACACCGGUGGCGAAGGCGGGUCUCUGGGCAAUUCCUGACGCUGAGGCGCGAAAGCGUGGGGAGCAAACGGG
rnacentral:rRNA from 1 species